UAAGACCACUGAUAAUGCCUUCCCUGUAGA
rnacentral:piRNA from 1 species